GCAUAUCAAUAAGCGGAGGAAAAGAAACCAACAGGGAUUGCCUUAGUAGCGGCGAGCGAAGCGGCAACAGCUCAAAUUUGAAAUCUGGCUACUUUGUAGUCCGAGUUGUAAUUUGCAGAGGAUGCUUUUGGUGAGGUGCCUUCCGAGUUCCCUGGAACGGGACGCCAGAGAGGGUGAGAGCCCCGUACGGUUGGACACCAAACCUUUGUAUAGCUCCUUCAACGAGUCGAGUAGUUUGGGAAUGCUGCUCUAAAUGGGAGGUAUAUCUCUUCUAAAGCUAAAUACCGGCUAGAGACCGAUAGCGCACAAGUAGAGUGAUCGAAAGAUGAAAAGCACUUUGAAAAGAGAGUUAAACAGCACGUGAAAUUGUUGAAAGGGAAGCGCCUAUGACCAGACUUGUUUCUGUCAGUUUUGCUUGUUUUCGGACUUGUUUACUCUGUCAGUACAGGCCAACAUCAGUUUGUUGUUUGGGAGAAAGGCUUAGGGAAUGUGGCUCCCUCGGGAGUGUUAUAGCCCUUUGCAUAAUACCAUUCGGCAGACUGAGGACCGCGCUUCGGCAAGGAUGUUGGCGUAAUGGUCAUCAGCGACCCGUCUUGAAACACGGACCAAGGAGUCAACCUUAUGUGCGAGUGUUUGGGUGUAAAACCCCAGCGCGUAAUGAACGUGAACGUAGGUGAGAGCUUCGGCGCAUCAUCGACCGAUUCUGAUGUUCUCGGAUGGAUUUGAGUAAGAGCAUAUAGGGUUGGACCCGAAAGAAGGUGAACUAUGCUUGUAUAGGGUGAAGCCAGAGGAAACUCUGGUGGAGGCUCGCAGCGGUUCUGACGUGCAAAUCGAUCGUCAAAUAUGAGCAUGGGGCGAAAGACUAAUCGAACCUUCUAGUAGCUGGUUCCAGCCGAAGUU
rnacentral:rRNA from 1 species